rnacentral:rRNA from 1 species
AUUGAACGCUGGCGGCAGGCCUAACACAUGCAAGUCGAGCGGAGCGGCGGACGGGCGGGUGAUUCCUAGGAAUCUGCCUGCUAGUUGGGGAUGGCGUCCGGAUACGGGCGCUAAUUCAUCCUACUAUCCGAUGAGCCUCGGUGGGAUGAGCGAGUUGGUGGGGUAAAGGCUUACCAAGGCGACGAUCCGUAGCUGGUCUGAGAGGAUGAUCAGCCACACUGGAACUGAGACACGGUCCAGACUCCUACGGGAGGCAGCAGUGGGGAAUAUUGGACAAUGGGCGAAAGCCUGAUCCAGCCAUGCCGCGUGUGUGAAGAAGGUCUUCGGAUUGUAAAGCACUUUAAGUUGGGAGGCGUUACCAACAGAAGAAGCACCGGCUAACUUCGUGCCAGCAGCCGCGGUAAUUC